UGUAACCAAAGACCAGGAAAAGGCUGAGGUACUUGUACUUUCUUUGCCUCAGCCUGUAACAGCAAGACUGGUUAUCCUCAGGGCAACAUGCUGAGCUGUUAGACAGGGUCUGGGAGCAGAACAGAACCUCUGCAAUCCAAGAGGAAGCAGCUAGUGCCCCACUGCGCCACUUGGACACUCACGAGUCUAUUAUUUUAAUCCCUUGUCCCAUAGCAGCAUCCAGAAUGGCAACAGCCAUUUCAUCCAAAGUGCUGCACUGCCAUCUGUCUCAGCUUCCAGACACUGGUAUUCAGCUGCUUUUCAUCUGAAGGGUAGACACAGCUGGAUAUCAACUCAACAGCCUCAGACAGAUCCAAGGGACUGUCAAGAAGAAAACCUGAAUUCCAAGAAUGGGAGGAAGCAUUCCAAAGAAUAAAAUACAGACUAUAACAACAACAAAGGACUGCAUUGGAGAAAAUAUUGAUGUGGCCUUCACAAAAAAGUUUUGCCUAACAGUUCUGCUGAAGAUAUCUGAAGAAGUCAACGGGCAUGUACUCUAGGAAGCUCUAGGUGGUACAGUCGGCUUGGACCCACACAAGGCAUUUGGCAGAGUCUUGAAGAAAGGACUACUAAAGAAACUUAGCUGCUUUGGAGACAGAGGUAAUCUUCACAUGAAGGUAGCUAAAGAAUAAAGGUUUAGCAAGCAA